ensembl:lncRNA
GUCGACAGGGGUUUUAAGAAUUAUUUCCUUCCACCAAGCGACGCUUCCCAGGAGCCUUGGGGGACCAAGGGACCAUCCGCCUGGGCAUUGGUUUUCUUGCAGUUGCCUCCUCUGCCCUCUUCUCUUGGGGCUCCUUCUUCCACGAUUGCCUCUAUCAAGCAGAAAACCGUGUCCUGGGCCCAACUUUGCAGAGACAAACGGAAAAGCUGCGCAGGCAGAAAGCUAGGAGAUUCACUGCCCCUGGACCCUCGACCCUUAGUCACCUCUGUGCCCCCAUGGCAUCUAUGCCCGGGCCAAGCGCGCCCCCGGAGAGACCUCGCCAACUCAGCGCGACUACAACUUCCCCGGGGGCGGCGGUCGCACCCUGGGCAUCUGCCCUCGUUCUCCUGACCAUCAGAUCUCCUCUCGCCAGAUAACCAGAUCUGCCUGUCGUCUACCCUCUCUCGGCCUCCCAGGAUCUGCCUGGACAAGGAGUGUGCUGGAAUGGCCCAGAAGAAUCCAGUGCUGUGGAACACAAAAUUCCUCGGACGGAAUGAGAUUUCUUAAGAGCAGGACGGAGGACUCCCAACACUUUGCACAAGGAUUUGCCCAAACAGUAGAGCCCAGUAAUUCACAAUGGCUGAUUUUACAAGCCCGCAAGAAACUUUUUUUUUCC